rnacentral:misc_RNA from 1 species
GAAAUGCGAAAAGUAGUGUGAAUUGCAGAAUUCAGUGAAUCAUCGAAUCUUUGAACGCACAUUGCGCCCUUUGGUAUUCCUUAGGGCAUGCCUGUUCGAGCGUCAUCUAAACCUUCAAGCCCUGCUUGGUGUUGGGUGCCUGUCCCGCCUCCGCGCGCGGACUCACCUCAAAUCCAUUGGCGGCCCCCGCGUCGGCCACGAGCGCAGCAGAAACGCGAACUCGUGAGCCCGUCCGGGCGGCUCCCAGAAGCUACACCCACCCAGUUUGACCUCGGAUCAGGUAGGGAUACCCGCUGAACUUAAGC